GAAAAAAUGGAAAAACUGCUGGGACUCUCUGUGGACAAGAUGGCUGCCAGCCCUGCCAACAAGAUGGCUGCCCCAAGGACAGGGCUCCAGGGGGACAAGGGAGCUGUGGGAUCAGACCUCUCCUACCUCACAGGGCUACCUGCAAUUCCCAGCAUGAUGGAUGAUCCUGAAUGGAUCCUCAGAAAUUGAAUCCAUCAGCUGCAGGCCCCCUUCUGAAGGAGCCCGGAUCUACAGAUAACAGAAUACCUGGCAUGAAAAAGAAUGGUGCAAAAGCCCAGGAAGACUGCAAGAAAAUGCAGAUUGAUCAUGUGACUUUACCCCAAACAUUGUCUCAGCCAGCAAAUCCAUGAACGGAGCUGAAAGCAAUGGAAAAACAUUAUGCGGAUGUUUUCACAAAUCCACUCUGUCACUUGGAAAUCUCUCCUGAUUAUAUACAUUUUAUAGCAAAGAUAAGAGCAUGUUAGUAAGUUCAAGCAUGAAACAGUCUGUUUACUAAAGGCUGCAGGGAAUGUUUAUUAAACCAGCUAAUUUAUGGCAAAACAGGGCCAGAACUUGAUAUACUCCACAAAAAGCUGCUUUACCAGGCAGCUGUUUCCCUCCCACACUGACAGUGUAACCCACUCUGUGCUGUUCUGUCCUCACAUCUGCUGCCAUGGGAGCCAGGAGAAGGCUUGUAAGGGUGUGAGGGCAUGUUGGACCUGACUGCUCACAGGUGAAAGCUAGAGCAGCCCUUCAGUGUGCUGCUUAAAAUUAACAGCUGAUAUAUUUAAAGCAAAGCAGCUGGAUCUAAAUCAAGUAGAAUCUUCUUAAAUUGAAAGGUGACUCAGGCUGGUUGUCACUUGGAUUUUUUUAGUGAGGUAGAGUAGUUAGAAAAAAGAGCAGAUAGAAACUAUUCACAACAAGCUGGUUGAUAAAUGUACAUUAAAAGCCCACUGAACACUGUCUUAAUGCCCUGCAGGAACUGAAAUCAACAGGUCAAUUAAAAGUAGACUAACAAAAAGAAAUCUGCCCUCCACCCGUGCCUUUUUUCUGUUCUUAAUGUUUGGUGAAAUGAAUGCUUGCCUCCUUUCCUCCCACACACUCAGCUCACAGUUCCCACUUAGCCAUUUCCCAGUCCUAUUUUACACAAAUCUUUAUCUUAUCCUACUUCUCCUGCAAAUCCUUCUCCUCUAGAGCACUUAUAUCCUCUUCUUUCAUAAAAUUCACCUUUUACAAGUGGUACCUAAUCAGUCUUACUUUGUCCUAUCCAGGAAAGGAGGGGUUUAUUUUAGAAAAAAAAAUUAUUGUUAUUCAGUGAAUUUUGUGGCUGGUAUGAAUGGUUUUAUUCUACCAGAUGGUAGUCUCCUCUAUGCAGGAACAUUUGUCUGCUUCACUGUACUGCACGAUGCAUAUUAUUCUCACCUAUGAAUGGGCCUUUUCCUUAUUACUACCAAAGAUCAAACAUUACACAAUUCCUCCAGUAUGGAGCUACAAUCUGAGUGACAGCUACUGCAGCCGCUGUAAAAGCACUACAGCCUCAGAAAGAUUAUUCCUUCCUUCCUGAAUAUGUUAGAGUUGCUAUAC